GUUAGUGCCUAGUAUAUAGGUAAUAACGUACCUCUUGCAUAAUGGGUCAGCUAGUUAGUAGGUAGUGCGAGACAAGACGUCUUAGCUAAGACAAUUCAUUUACGGCUCGAUCAGCCCAUUAUAUAGACUAAGGCGUGGUCCUUUUAUACUAUAUUAUACUAGGGGCAGCCUAGUAAUACAUUUAUUCAGUAUUAGUUGGACCCUAGACCUGACCUAGUAUAGUGGUAAUUAGGUACUAUAAAGACAGCGGGUGCAUUGCGCAUACUACAACAUUCUGGCUAUAUUACAGGGUAUAUACUGAAGGUAACACAGUCUAUCGCCGACCUCCCAACUAUAUAAUAAAAUAUAUAUAUUAAGAGGCACAAUGUACUAGAGAGAGAGUAGUACUACUUACUAGACCCGAAGAUAGGUGAGCUAGGCUUGGCCAGGCAAAUAAUGGCCGAACAGGUGAAUGUUGCAAUAUUCUCUGACGAGCUGAGUCUAGUAGUGAAAUGCUAAACUAACCUAGUGUAUAGCUGGUACUCUGCGAAAUAUAUUUUAGUAUAGGACUAUUAGCCUGUUAUAUAUAGGUACAGCACUGGUCCACAUAUUUCUGUCUAUUUCUACUAGUUCGCUAGUAUAUUUAUUACAAAAUAGAAUUAGGGAAAAUAUGUUUCUACUAUUGUGGACUAACCUCGGAAAUAUAUAUAAUAAUAAUAGUACCCAGUCUAUAUAUGAUAAGGUAUAUAGACAAGAGGGAAACAGCCCAGAGUACUGACUAAGGUCCCAAAAUACAGUUUAGUGAAAUUAAGAGAGUCUUGCCCCUAAUACAGCCAUGGAGUAGGCCUGGAAAUAGCCACCUCUUAAAGACAGUGUAACAAUUCAGUGGCCUAACAGUCUAUUAGACUAGUCUACCUAUUUCCAUUAUUUGUCUUUUACUAGGCAACUACUACAAUUAGUUAGAGAGGGGCAGGGCAUCUAAGAUACACGGGUCUAGACUGUAUACCUACGUAGUACCUACCUACAAUUCUUUCAUUAUGUAUUUGAUUUGGUAGUGUACGUAUAUAGCAAUAUUGCCAUAUAUGUACCUAUAUACUACCUUAAUGUAACAAUAUAUUAUUAUAUAUGUACAAAGAAAAUAGUAUAAAUAAUUGGGUAAGGGUAGCAGAGCAUUCGGCCUACAAAUGAAUAUGUAUUAUUAAUAUAUAGGAUGUAGCCGAGGUGAAAAUGCUGAC
rnacentral:ncRNA from 1 species